UACGAAGGGUGCAAACGUUGCUCGGAAUUAUUGGGCGUAAAGCGCACGUAGGCGGCUUUGCAAGUCCCAUGUGAAAGCCCACGGCUCAACCGUGGAAGUGCAUGGGAAACUGCAGAGCUUGAGUACUUAAGAGGAUCGCGGAAUUCCCGGUGUAGAGGUGAAAUUCGUAGAUAUCGGGAGGAACACCAGUGGCGAAGGCGGCGAUCUGGGAAGAUACUGACGCUGAGGUGCGAAAGCGUGGGGAGCAAACAGG
rnacentral:rRNA from 2 species